rnacentral:pre_miRNA from 1 species
UAAUGCGUGUAAUAAGUACUGUAUUGAUGUUGAAAUUCAGCACUUAUCACAUGCAAUGCG